GACGAACGCUGGCGGCGUGCUUAACACAUGCAAGUCGAACGGAAAGGCCCUGCUUUUGUGGGGUGCUCGAGUGGCGAACGGGUGAGUAACACGUGAGUAACCUGCCCUUGACUUUGGGAUAACUUCAGGAAACUGGGGCUAAUACCGGAUAGGAGCUCCUGCUGCAUGGUGGGGGUUGGAAAGUUUCGGCGGUUGGGGAUGGACUCGCGGCUUAUCAGCUUGUUGGUGGGGUAGUGGCUUACCAAGGCUUUGACGGGUAGCCGGCCUGAGAGGGUGUCCGGCCACAUUGGGACUGAGAUACGGCCCAGACUCCUACGGGAGGCAGCAGUGGGGAGUAUUGCACAAUGGGCGGAAGCCUGAUGCAGCAACGCCGCGUGCGGGAUGACGGCCUUCGGGUUGUAAACCGCUUUCGCCUGUGACGAAGCGUGAGUGACGGUAAUGGGUAAAGAAGCACCGGCUAACUACGUG
rnacentral:rRNA from 1 species